UACAGAGGUCCCCAAGCGUUGUUCGGAUUUACUGGGCGUAAAGGGUGCGUAGGCGGUUGGGUAAGUCUGAUGUGAAAUCCCCGGGCCCAACCCGGGAACGGCAUUAGAAACUGUGUAGCUUGAGUCCUGGAGAGGAAGACGGAAUACUUGGUGUAGAGGUGAAAUUCGUAGAUAUCAGGUAGAACACCAGUGGCGAAGGCGGUCUUCUGGACAGUGACUGACGCUGAGACGCGAAAGCGUGGGGAGCAAACAGGAUUAGAAACCCGAGUAGU
rnacentral:rRNA from 1 species